AUUUUCAGGUCACCACAAUGUUUCAUUUGGACCGUCCAAUGUACCUACUGGGGUAUCUGGCAAAUCAAAGUAGGGUUUAUCUCAUUGACAAAGAGUUCAAUGUUAUAGGAUACACAUUACUCCUCAGCUUGAUCGAGUACAAGACACUUGUGAUGCGUGGUGAUCUGGAGCGAGCAAAUGAGGUCUUAUCAUCAAUUCCUAAGGAGCACCACAAUAGUGUGGCCCGUUUCCUGGAAUCUCGAGGAAUGGUAGAGGAAGCAUUAGAAGUUGCUACUGACCCUGAUUACAGAUUUGAACUAGCAAUACAACUAGGGAAGUUAGACAUUGCUAAGGAAAUUGCUUUAGUAGCUCAUAGUGAAUCCAAGUGGAAGCAGUUGGGCGAACUUGCUAUGUCUUCUGGAAUGUUAGAGUUGGCAGAGCAAUGCUUGAAGCAAGCAAAUGACUUGAGUGGUUUGUUAUUACUCUACUCUUCUCUAGGAGAUGCCGAGGGAAUAACUGAACUUGUAUCUCUUUCCAAAGAGCAUGGGAAAAAUAAUGUUUCAUUCCUUUGUCUUUUCCUGUUGGGUAAAGUGGAAGAGUGCAUUCAGCUAUUGAUUGACAGCAAUCGGCUACCUGAGGCUGCAUUUAUGGCGCGAUCUUAUUUACCUAGUAAAGUAUCUGAAAUAGUUGAAAUUUGGAGAAAAGACCUUAACAAGAUUAACCAAAAAGCUGCUGAGGCUUUAGCUGAUCCCAAAGAUUACCCUAACCUGUUUGAAGACUGGCAAGUUGCACUUGCAGUUGAAUCUACUGUUGCUGAGACGAGAGGAAACCUUCCACCUGCAUCUGAAUAUUUUAAUCAAGCUGAUAGAUCAACAACCAACCUCGUGGAGGCUUUCAGGAACAUGAGGAUGGAUGAAGAGGAACCCCUUCAGAAUGGAGACUUGGAUCAUGAGGUUGCAGACCAGAAUGGGGAUGAGGUGCAAGAUGAUGCUCAAGAAGAGACUGUUCUGGUGGAUGCUGACUCCGUGGAUGGUGCAGUACUUAUUAAUGCAAAUGGGACUGAAGAACAGUGGGGUACGAAAAAUGAAGGAAAAGAGUCGGCCUAAAAGCAAUUGGCUGGGCCGGUGUGAAGUUCCUAGUUUUGUUGCUGUGCUUACACCACAUCAGUGAUUCCAGUCAAGAAGGCUUGCUGCAAUUGUUGUCUUAAUCUUAAAAAUAUGCACAAUCAAGGGACCAAGUUCAUGGCUGGCUGCCUACUUGUGUGAUUUUGUAGCGAUGAGUUAUGUCAGCAUACAGUAUACACAUCUUCCAAGCUCCGAGUUAUUAGUUGAGCUGCUCAUACUUGUUUUAAUUAACAUUCUUUGGGCCAAACAAUUUAAUUUUUUUUUUUU